AACGAACGCUGGCGGCAGGCCUAACACAUGCAAGUCGAGCGAGACCUUCGGGUCUAGCGGCGGACGGGUGAGUAACGCGGGGGAACGUGCCCUUUGGUUCGGAAUAGCCCCGGGAAACUGGGAGUAAUACGGGAUAAGGCCUACGGGGGAAAGAUUUAUCGCCAAAGGAUCGGCCCGCGUUGGAUUAGGCAGUUGGUGGGCUAAUGGCCUACCAAGCCGACGAUCCAUAGCUGGUUUGAGAGGAUGAUCAGCCACACUGGGACUGAGACACGGCCCAGACUCCUACGGGAGGCAGCAGUGGGGAAUCUUAGACAAUGGGGGAAACCCUGAUCUAGCCAUGCCGCGUGCGCGAUGAAGGCCUUAGGGUUGUAAAGCUCUUUCAGUGGGGAAGAUAAUGACUGUACCCACAGAAGAAGCCCCGGCUAACUCCGUGCCAGCCGCCGCAGUAACAC
rnacentral:rRNA from 1 species